UAGGGAAUAUUGGACAAUGGGCGCAAGCCUGAUCCAGCCAUGCCGCGUGAGUGAAGAAGGCCUUCGGGUUGUAAAGCUCUUUUGUCCGGAAAGAAAAGCUCUGGGUUAAUACCCUGGAGUCCUGACGGUACCGGAAGAAUAAGCACCGGCUAACUUCGUGCCAGCAGCCGCGGUAAUACGAAGGGUGCAAGCGUUACUCGGAAUUACUGGGCGUAAAGCGUGCGUAGGUGGUUUGUUAAGUCUGAUGUGAAAGCCCUGGGCUCAACCUGGGAAUGGCAUUGGAUACUGGCAGGCUAGAGUGCGGUAGAGGGUAGUGGAAUUCCCGGUGUAGCAGUGAAAUGCGUAGAGAUCGGGAGGAACAUCUGUGGCGAAGGCGACUACCUGGACCAGCACUGACACUGAGGCACGAAAGCGUGGGGAGCAAACA
rnacentral:rRNA from 1 species